GUGGGGAAUCUUGCGCAAUGGGCGAAAGCCUGACGCAGCCAUGCCGCGUGAAUGAUGAAGGUCUUAGGAUUGUAAAAUUCUUUCACCGGGGACGAUAAUGACGGUACCCGGAGAAGAAGCUCCGGCUAACUUCGUGCCAGCAGCCGCGGUAAUACGAAGGGGGCUAGCGUUGCUCGGAAUUACUGGCGUAAAGGGCGCGUAGGCGGACAGCUUAGUCAGAGGUGAAAGCCCAGGGCUCAACCUUGGAAUUGCCUUUGAUACUGGCUGUCUUGAGUUUGGGAGAGGUGAGUGGAACUCCGAGUGUAGAGGUGAAAUUCGUAGAUAUUCGGAAGAACACCAGUGGCGAAGGCGACUCACUGGCCCAAUACUGACGCUGAGGCGCGAAAGCGUGGGGAGCAAACAGGAUUAGAAACCCCAGUAGUCC
rnacentral:rRNA from 1 species